rnacentral:rRNA from 1 species
CACGUAGGGCGCAAGCGUUGUCCGGAAUUAUUGGGCGUAAAGAGCUCGUAGGCGGUCUGUUGCGUCGGCUGUGAAAACCCGGGGCUCAACCCCGGGCCUGCAGCCGAUACGGGCAGACUAGAGUUCGGCAGGGGAGACUGGAAUUCCUGGUGUAGCGGUGAAAUGCGCAGAUAUCAGGAGGAACACCGGUGGCGAAGGCGGGUCUCUGGGCCGAUACUGACGCUGAGGAGCGAAAGCGUGGGGAGCGAACAGG